rnacentral:rRNA from 1 species
UGAGGAAUAUUGGGCAAUGCCCGAAAGGGUGACCCAGCAACGCCGCGUGGAGGAUGAAGGUCGUAAGAUUGUAAACUCCUGUUAGAGGGGAAGAAUAACUAAGUUUGGAGCUUAGUAUGACUGUACCCUCAGAGAAAGCCCCGGCUAACUACGUGCCAGCAGCCGCGGUAAUACGUAGGGGGCAAGCGUUGUCCGGAUUUACUGGGUGUAAAGGGCGCGCAGGCGGAAUGGAAAGUCAGUGGUGAAAUCCUACAGCUUAACUGUAGAACUGCCUUUGAUACUUUCAUUCUUGAGUUCGGGAGAGAGAGACGGAAUUCCAGGUGUAGUGGUGAAAUACGUAGAUAUCUGGAAGAGCACCAGUUGCGAAGGCGGUCUCUUGGUCCGACACUGACGCUGAGGCGCGAAAGCGUGGGGAGCAAACA